rnacentral:tRNA from 1 species
GGUCCUAUAGUGUAGUGGUUAUCACAGCGGAUUCUGAUUCCGCUAACGCAGGUUCGAGUCCUGCUAGGACCU